GACGAACGCUGGCGGCGUGCUUAACACAUGCAAGUCGAACGGAAAGGCCCUGCUUUUGUGGGGUGCUCGAAUGGCGAACGGGUGAGUAACACGUGAGUAACCUGCCCUUGACUUUGGGAUAACUUCAGGAAACUGGGGCUAAUACCGGAUAGGAGCUCCUGCUGCAUGUUGGGGGUUGGAAAUUUUCGGCGGUUGGGGAUGGACUCCCGGCUUAUCAGCUUGUUGGUGGGGUAGUGGCUUACCAAGGCUUUGACGGGUAGCCGGCCUGAGAGGGUGACCGGCCACAUUGGGACUGAGAUACGGCCCAGACUCCUACGGGAGGCAGCAGUGGGGAAUAUUGCACAAUGGGCGGAAGCCUGAUGCAGCAACGCCGCGUGCGGGAUGACGGCCUUCGGGUUGUAAACCGCUUUCGCCUGUGACGAAGCGUGAGUGACGGUAAUGGGUAAAGAAGCACCGGCUAACUACGUG
rnacentral:rRNA from 1 species